rnacentral:lncRNA from 1 species
GUCACGUAGUAAACUAUCACGUGAUUAUUGUAACCAAUGAGAUCACUGAAAGGAACACACACAAGGAUUUUAUUAUAUAGAUUAUGUGUGGAUUAUAAAUUCUGUGACUUUUGGGUGAAAAACUGGUUUAUCUUGAAAAAUAUGCAUUUCCGACACUAUGUUCAUAAGACAUUUUUUGUUUAUUUCCAUGAGUGGGGCCUGCCCUGGUGGUUUGUUGGUGGACUUUGGAAACACCCCAUAUAUGCAUAAAUAUAUGCAUAAAGUAUUCUCCAUACUGUAUAAAUACACAUACAACAAAGAUAGUCAGAAAAAAUCCUCUCUCAACUAUUCCAAUUUCGGACAGUCUUAAGGAUUCAUCCAUCACACCUGAAUAAUGUUCUGCAAUCUAUGCUCUCUCUCCCAGAUCAUCCACUUAUCAUACAUCUUCACAUACAUCAUCACACUUAUCAUACAGUUUUUUUAUCUGGUAUAAAAUUCCUUAAUACUUGGUAUUCUUUAAAUCUGACUUCUAAUUCUGCCAUAAUGCCUACCAAUGGCCUAUUGAUAAAUAUACUUCUGUUCUGCUUAUAGUACUUGCCACAAAAACAUAAAAGUUUUUAAGUGAUCAAGUGGCAGAUAUUUCCAAAGAAGUUCAUCUUAGUUUGUGCAUCUUCUAGGUGUUCUAGUAUAAAAUUAUACAGCAUGAAACAGGUAGGUGCUAUUUCUACUUAGGAAUAGAUAGAUUCAUAAUUCAAAAUAGAUAUAAUUUUAUCUGACAAUGGGCCUUUCUCUAGGAACUGGUCAAUAAAGUCUUGGUAUGAAUUGAUUAUAUAUUCAUAUAAUAGAUUCAUUAUCCCAAAACAUCAUCUUGCUAUAAUAAUUUGUUUCCAAGUUAUACAAUGGCAAAGAUGUUUUAUCUAUUAUUGGUCUCAAGACAAGUGAUUGUUUAUGUGGUUUUACAUAGCCAAAUAGACCUGGAGCUGCCAGACAGGUAAUCUUAUUAACUUUUCAUCAAAGUGGAAAAAAAUGUUCUGAUCUUAGCAGCCUAUUUUUUUCUUUCCAAUUCUUCUGUUGAAUCAUAUGUAAGCUCUCCAGAGGGUGAAUUUAAAUAAAAUACUCUAGAAAGCUGCAAUACUUAUAAAGGUCAUUAUUUUUAGUCUUAUCUCUCAUGCACAUCAAAUCUUCAUUCUCCAUUCAUUAUUUUGCAUAGUUAAUAGCUGCUAUCAACUUUCUCUCUUCUGUAGCACACUUAGAUCUGUUAUAUUUUAGCUUCUCCCUAACUGCUCACACAAAUGAAGCACUGCACAGCAGGUGUAUAGACAUUGAGGAGCUUUAAUGCAAGUGCUUUCGACGCUAAUG